CGCGGGGUGGAGCAGCUUGGUAGCUCGUCGGGCUCAUAACCCGAAGGUCGUCGGUUCAAAUCCGGUUCCCGCAACCA
rnacentral:tRNA from 1 species